GACGAACGCUGGCGGCGUGCCUAACACAUGCAAGUCGAACGGAAAGGCCCUGCUUUUGCGUGGUGCUCGAGUGGCGAACGGGUGAGAAACAUGUGAGUAACCUGCCCUUGACUUUGGGAUAACUUCAGGAAACUGCGGCUAAUACCGGAUAGGAGCUCCUGCUGCAUGGUGGGGGUUGGAAAGUUUCGGCGGUUGGGGAUGGACUCGCGGCUUACCAGCUUGUUGGUGGGGUAGUGGCUUACCAAGGCUUCGACGGAUAGCCGGCCUGGGAGGUUAGACGGGGACCUUACGACUGCGGGACGGCGCAGACUGGAACAGUGGGCAACGGUGGGGAAUAUUGCACAAUGAGCGGAAGCGUGAUGAAGAGACCCCGGGUGCGUGAUGACGGCCUUCGGGGUAUAAACCGCUUUCGGCUGUGACGAAGCGUGAGUGACGGUAAUGGGUGAAGAAGCACCGGCUAACUACGUG
rnacentral:rRNA from 1 species